AGCCUGCGGUUUAAUCGGACUCAACGCCGGGAAACUCACCAGAUAAGACAGCUGAAUGAUAGUCGGGCUGAAGACUCUACUUGACUAGCUGAGAGGAGGUGCAUGGCCGUCGUCAGUUCGUACUGUGAAGCAUCCUGUUAAGUCAGGCAACGAGCGAGACCCACGCCAACAGUUGCCAGCUCGUCCUUCGGGAUGGUGGGGACACUGUUGGGACCGCCUCUGCUAAAGAGGAGGAAGGAAUGGGCAACGGUAGGUCAGCAUGCCCCGAAUUACCUGGGCUACACGCGGGCUACAAUGGGUGGGACAAUGGGUAUCGACACCGAAAGGUGAAGGCAAUCUCCUAAACCCAUCCGUAGUUCGGAUUGUGGGCUGCAACUCGCCCACAUGAAGCUGGAAUCUGUAGUAAUCGUGUCUCAAAAUGGCACGGUGAAUAUGUCCCUGCUCCUU
rnacentral:rRNA from 1 species